rnacentral:rRNA from 1 species
UGCAAUGAGAGUUGUGCUAAGGUAGCGUGAUAAUUUGUCCUUUAAUUGGGGAAUGGUAUGAAAGGUUUGACGUGGAUGAGUUGUCUCUAGAAAAAUUAUUGAAGUUUCCUUUUAAAUGAAAAGGUUUAAAUUUUUGUAAAAGACGAGAAGACCCUGGCGAGCUGAAUUAGGCGUGAAAUUUUUCUAUACAAAAUGGUUAAUAGAUUAUAAAAUUUGAGGUUGAAUUUUGGUUGGGGAGAGCUAAACUUAAGAGAAUAGGUUUGAGACAGACAUAGAUCCUCUUUGAGAGAUAAUCGGUAAAAAGCUACCGCAGGGAUAACAGCGUAAUUUUUCUUGGGAGAUCGUAUUGAGGGAAAAGUUUGCGACCUCGAUGUUGGAUUAU